rnacentral:rRNA from 1 species
UUCCUACGGGGGGCUGCAGUGGGGAAUAUUGCACAAUGGGGGAAACCCUGAUGCAGCAACGCCGCGUGAAGGAUGAAGGUUUUCGGAUUGUAAACUUCUUUAGUCAGGGACGAAGAAAGUGACGGUACCUGAAGAAUAAGCCACGGCUAACUACGUGCCAGCAGCCGCGGUAAUACGUAGGUGGCGAGCGUUGUCCGGAAUUACUGGGUGUAAAGGGCGUGUAGGCGGGAAUGUAAGUCAGAUGUGAAAUCCCAGGGCUUAACCCUGGAGCUGCAUCUGAAACUAUGUUUCUUGAGUGUCGGAGAGGAAAGCGGAAUUCCUAGUGUAGCGGUGAAAUGCGUAGAUAUUAGGAGGAACACCAGUGGCGAAGGCGGCUUUCUGGACGAUAACUGACGCUGAGGCGCGAAAGCGUGGGGAGCAAACAGGAUUAGAUACCCUUGUAGUCU